rnacentral:rRNA from 1 species
UACGAAGGGGACUAGCGUUAUCCGGAAUGAUUGGGCGUAAAGCGUCCGCAGGCGGCAGUUUAAGUCUGCUGUCAAAGACCGGGGCUUAACUUCGGAAAGGCAGUGGAAACUGAACAGCUAGAGUAUGGUAGGGGCAGAGGGAAUUCCUGGUGUAGCGGUGAAAUGCGUAGAGAUCAGGAAGAACAUCGGUGGCGAAGGCGCUCUGCUGGACCAUAACUGACACUCAGGGACGAAAGCUAGGGGAGCGAAUGGG